ensembl:ncRNA F18C5.14 ncRNA
CGGACACGGACAACCAGACGCACAGAGUCGGUACCAAGCAGCACCGGCCGUCUCGUACGUCUCUCUGUC